CAUAGAGCUACUAUAGCUGCAAACCCCAAACCGAAAAGAGCCAGCCGGUCUUCAGAUUUAUCCCAAACAUUCUGCACAGACUUAACAAUGCUGAGGGAGGUUGAUGACUCAGAGCUUUCUCCAGCAGCCUUCACAACAAGAGCCACACGAUUCUGUCUCUCUCUAAUGGGAGAAACUGGAAGUUUUAGAAGAGUCCUCAAAAGGGUGCUUCUAACAGGGACCACCAGUGCUGGAGGAGGCAAGCUUGCAACAAUGGAAGCCAUGUCCACCUCUUUGAUUGCAGAGAGAGAGAGAGAGAGAGAGAACGAGAGGCACUAAGCAAUGAACGCCACAAAUGUUCCAGCUUUGUGGCCGGGAGCGUGGGAUGGGAGUACUAACCUCGCUGGAGGUUUGUUCAGG
rnacentral:misc_RNA from 1 species